rnacentral:lncRNA from 1 species
UAACGCGGAAUAUAUAAUGGCGGUAUAAUUUACCACUUUCUUGCCAUGCUUUUGUUUUAACUUUUAAUUUUUAGUUAUAAUAAAGAAGAUUUUUCUAAAAAAACAUGAAAGUAUUUGUGCAACUUGCUUGUAUGGUGGUCAUAGCUUUCUGCAAACCUUCGACGCUAUCCGAUGGUUCUGAAG